rnacentral:rRNA from 1 species
UACGAAGGGUGCAAGCGUUACUCGGAAUUACUGGGCGUAAAGCGUGCGUAGGCGGUUCGUUAAGUCUGUCGUGAAAGCCCUGGGCUCAACCUGGGAAUUGCGAUGGAUACUGGCGAGCUAGAGUACGGUAGAGGAUGGUGGAAUUCCCGGCGUAGCGGUGAAAUGCGUAGAGAUCGGGAGGAACACCCGUGGCGAAGGCGGCCAUCUGGACCAGUACUGACGCUGAGGCACGAAAGCGUGGGGAGCAAACAGG